rnacentral:rRNA from 1 species
UAAACAACUUUCAACAACGGAUCUCUUGGCUCUCGCAUCGAUGAAGAACGCAGCGAAAUGCGAUAAGUAAUGUGAAUUGCAGAAUUCAGUGAAUCAUCGAAUCUUUGAACGCACCUUGCACUCCUUGGUAUUCCGAGGAGUAUGCCUGUUUGAGUGUC